AGUGAUGAGGAUUCCAGUGCUCAUCAGCUGCAUCGGAAUCUCAAUCAAGUUAUUCUCUUGCAUUCCCCUUUUGCACUCCACGUCGAGUCGCUUCUUCGUCAGGUAUCACUGCUCUAGUUGCACCGCAAUCGGCUUCAUUUCCACACAAAACUGCUUCAAAUUUCCCGCCGAACCUUAAGGUUGGUUCCUAUUUUGUAGAUGUUUAUUUUGGCGGUCAUCAUUCACCAGAUCUUUCAUCAGACAGACAUCGACAUAUCAUGAAAUAGCAUUCAGGACAUCUGAUCGAAACAAAAGAGAAAAUGGUUACCAUAGUGAUUGCCAUGGUGAUGCUUGGAAUAGUGAAACAAGUGGAUUCUAUUCCCGUUGACCAGUUUGUCCCACCUGUCAUAACAGAUGGACAAGACAGAUUCCUUUCUGGCAGUGGAUUUUCAGGUUCCACUCAAGUGCAGAACGUGCUACAAAGUCUAGUUCAGUAUGCAGAUAAAUCAAGCAGAAACAACAUGGAGAAGAUACAGG